GACGAACGCUGGCGGCGUGCUUAACACAUGCAAGUCGAACGAAGUGGCGAACGGGUGAGUAACGCGUAAUCAACCUGCCCUUCAGAGGGGGACAACCGUUGGAAACGACUGCUAAUACCGCAUACUGAAGGAGGGGAUUGCGUCUGCUUAGCUAGUUGGAGGGGUAACGGACCACCAAGGCGAGGAUCAGUAGCAGGUCGGAGAGGAAGACCAGCAAAACUGGGACUGAGACACGGCCCAGACUCCUACGGGAGGCAGCAGUGGGGAAUGUUGGACAAUGGGGGAAACCCUGAUCCAGCCAUCCCGAGUGUGCGAGGAAGGCCUUAGGGUGGUAAAGCACUUUUGGCAGGAAAGCGGUACCUGCAGAAUAAGCACCGGCUAACUACGUGCCAGCCGCCGCGGUAAUAC
rnacentral:rRNA from 1 species